UUAAUUGAAGCCAAAAAGAGGCGUUUCAUUGUUAAUGAAAAUAGUGGAUAUAAAUCCCGAUUAAA
rnacentral:tRNA from 1 species